GCCAACGUAGCUCAGUAGGUUAGAGCGUAUCCUUGGUAAGGAUAAGGUCACCGGUUCGAAUCCGGUCGUUGGCU
rnacentral:tRNA from 2 species